UGGGGAAUCUUAGACAAUGGGCGCAAGCCUGAUCUAGCCAUGCCGCGUGGGUGAUGAAGGCCUUAGGGUCGUAAAGCCCUUUCGCCGGGGAAGAUAAUGACGGUACCCGGUAAAGAAACCCCGGCUAACUCCGUGCCAGCAGCCGCGGUAAUACGGAGGGGGUUAGCGUUGUUCGGAAUGACUGGGCGUAAAGCGCGCGUAGGCGGAUCAGGAAGUUGGGGGUGAAAUCCCGGGGCUCAACCCCGGAAUGGCCUUCAAAACUCCUGGUCUUGAGUUCGAGAGAGGUGAGUGGAAUUCCGAGUGUAGAGGUGAAAUUCGUAGAUAUUCGGAGGAACACCAGUGGCGAAGGCGGCUCACUGGCUCGACACUGACGCUGAGGUGCGAAAGCGUGGGGAGCAAAC
rnacentral:rRNA from 1 species